AGGGGAGGUGGCACUAGGGGUCCAGCUGAAGGUCACUGUUACGGGUGCGACACCGCUGCUGGGUGUGGUUGUGAGGGUGGCUCCAGACGGCAAGGUGCUGCUGGAGGCUGUAAUUACAUCACCAGCAUUGGGGUCCGUCACAGUAAACACCACCUGCAUAUACACACGUGUUAAGCAAUGCGUGUAAGGAGUACCGAAACGUUAGGUACCUCAAUGUGCCAUCACCACAUAAGCAUCCUCUUGCAACCCCCACAUGCCCUCACAACCAGAUUCACAGACCAACACACACACACCCCUGUGUUCAACAAACUCUCAAUUCCCCUAUCACCACAGCGAGGGGUGGCUUCACUCCCCGACCUGACCACCAGUGAGGGACAGCAGUGAGGGUUGGCUGCACCGUCAGUGUAUGCCGAUAUGGCACACGCAUCACAGCCACGCGAAUACACCCUAACAACAGUGUGUAGUAACUGGCCGCUGAAAAGGCCUCUCUAGAUGCUGGUGGACGCGCUUAGCGCGUAUUUGUAGUUGUUCACGGUGCCGUACGGUGUGCCGGCUACUACACAGUGCUUUCUGUAUGAGUCACUGCAUGGCACGUUUAUGU
rnacentral:lncRNA from 1 species